rnacentral:rRNA from 1 species
AACGAACGCUGGCGGCAGGCCUAACACAUGCAAGUCGAGCGCCCCGCAAGGGGAGCGGCAGACGGGUGAGUAACGCGUGGGAAUCUACCCAUCUCUACGGAAUAACGCAUGGAAACGUGUGCUAAUACCGUAUACGUCCUUCGGGAGAAAGAUUUAUCGGAGAUGGAUGAGCCCGCGUUGGAUUAGCUAGUUGGUGGGGUAAAGGCCUACCAAGGCGAGGAUCCAUAGCUGGUCUGAGAGGGUGAUCAGCCACACUGGGACUGAGACACGGCCCAGGCUCCUACGGGAGGCAGCAGUGGGGAAUAUUGGACAAUGGGCGCAAGCCUGAUCCAGCCAUGCCGCGUGAGUGAUGAAGGCCCUAGGGUUGUAAAGCUCUUUCACCGGUGAAGAUAAUGACGGUAACCGGAGAAGAAGCCCCGGCUAACUUCGUGCCAGCCGCCGCGGUAAAAC